GAGUUUUGAAGACAUGCCAGAAGAAGAUGCUUUACCUCCAUCCCUCUCUCGUUUAGUAAUUGAUUUGGGAUGUCUGUUGCUUGAGGAGAGGUGUGAAAAGGGUAAAGGACCAGAUUGGCCUAAAAUUGCUCACAUCCCUGAUGUACACAUGCGGGGACAAGACUAUCUAAAAGGUCUGUAGGAUUUGUACCAAAAUAUAAGAGGACAGGUUGGAGAAGAUGGGAACCCUGGACACUGCAACGUAUCAUGUGGUUUCAGAAAGUGUUGUGUUUGUUGUCAGAGACCUCCUGCUUCUUCUUCUUCUUCUCCACAUCACUUUAAUUAAUUUAAAUAAUUAAUGCUCUCUUGCUUGAUCCAUAUUUGUACUACUUUUGUGUUCUGGAUCUGAAAUAAAUAUGAAUAAGAAUAUUUAUAUCUUAUUGGGAACAAA